GACGAACGCUGGCGGCGUGCUUAACACAUGCAAGUCGAACGGAAAGGCCCUGCUUUUGUGGGGUGCUCGAGUGGCGAACGGGUGAGUAACACGUGUGUAACCUGCCCUUGACUUUGGGAUAACUUCAGGAAACUGGGGCUAAUACCGGAUAGGAGCUCCUGCUGCAUGGUGGGGGUUGGAAAGUUUCGGCGGUUGGGGAUGGACUCGCGGCUUAUCAGCUUGUUGGUGGGGUAGUGGCUUACCAAGGCUUUGACGGGUAGCCGGCCUGGGAGGGUGACCGGCCACAUUGGGACUGAGAGACGCACCAGACUCCUACGGGAGGCAGCAGUGGGGAAUAUGGCACAAUGGGCGGAAGCCUGAUGCAGCAACGCCGCGUGCGGGAUGACGGCCUUCGGGUUAUAAACCGCUUUCGCCUGUGACGAAGCGUGAGUGACGGUAAUGGGUAAAGAAGCACCGGCUAACUACGUG
rnacentral:rRNA from 1 species